GGCACCUGUUACCCCACUGAUCUUCAGGGUUGAUUUGGCUGAUCUGGCUGGCUAGGUAGGUGUC
rnacentral:sRNA from 1 species